AUUCCUGAGCCAUGCACGUGCCAAGUUCAUACGAGUUAAUCGUGAGACUGCGGACGGCUCAGUAUAUCAGUGAUUAUCUGUUUGAUUGUCUUACCCAUUGGAUAACCGUGGGAAAUCUAGAGCUAAUACAUGCAAGUUUCUUGGUGUUGUCGCAAGGCAGCAUCAAAGCAUUUAUUAGACUUAACCAUCUACUAUGUAGCAAUACAUGGUAAGGCGAAUCUAGAUAACUUUGCUGAUCGUAUGGUCUUGUACCGACGACGUUUCAAUUGAGUUUCUGCCCUAUCAAUUUGUUGGUAAGGUAUUGGCUUACCAAGGUUGCAACGGGUAACGGGGAAUCAGGGUUCGAUUCCGGAGAGGGAGCCUGAGAAACGGCUACCACAUCCAAGGAAGGCAGCAGGCGCGCAAAUUACCCAAUCUAGACAGUAGGAGGUGGUGAAGAGAAGUACUGAGUGGUGGGCAAAUGCUUACCAACUUGGAAUGAACGUAAUUUAAGCAAUUCGAUGAGUAACUACUGGAGGGCAAGUCCUGGUGCCAGCAGCCGCGGUAAUUCCAGCUCCAGUGGCGUGAUUUAAAGUUGCUGCGUUUAAAACGCUCGUAGUUGGAUCACGCAGUAGUAAUUAGUUGUUUGAACGCAGGUAAUGUGGACGAUUUUCCAAGCGAUUAUUGAAUACUUGCCGGUUCAAAUGUUUAUGCUGAUUGCUACUAUUUGCACACAAGUAUGGCAUUUGGCCUUAAGUGAGUCGAGUGUCAUGUCUUGUGGAGAGACCCUUGAAAAAAACAGGAGGGCUAAAAGCACGCGGUACGCUUGAAUGUUAUAGCAUGGAACGAACAAAAGGGUAUUUGCGUAUAACUUUCUAAUUGUUGAGGGCAACUUUGACUUUUGGAGUAUACGCAGCACCCGCCAACAUUACAAAUGUUGGUUUUUGUAUUAGGUGAUGAUUAACAGGAGCGGUUGGGGGCAUUGGUAAUUUGGCCGCAAAGAGGUGAAAUUCUUAAACCGGCCAAGGACUAACAGAAUGCAAAGGCGUUUGUCUAAACCGUUUCCAUUAAUCAUAGAACGAAAGUGAAAGGUUCGAAGAACGAUCAGAGUACCUGUCCUAGUUCUCACUAUAAACUAAUGCCGAUCUGGCAUCAGUUUAAGUGAUUUACAAGCUCUAGAGUUGGUCCCCCUGGGUAAAACUCAAGCUUACUCGGUUACGGGAAGAGUACUGGUCGCAAAUCUGAAACUCUAAAGGGAACUUGACCGGAAGGGCACCAUCCAGGGGUGGAGCCUGCGGCUUAAUUUGACUCAACACGGGGAAACUUACCUGGUCCGGACAUCGAAAGGAUAAACAGACUAAUAGAUCUUAUUUGAUGCGGUGAGUGGUGGUGCAUGGCCGUUCUUAGUUCGUGGAGUGAUCUGUCAGGUUUAUUCCGGUAACGAACGAGACCACCUUCUCCAUUUAAGAAGCAGUAGUAGAAGGUCGGGGUCACGUUAUUCACGUAACUUGGCUUUGAUUUUCGCAGGUAGGAUUAUUGAAUUUUACAGAUGUUGUGUCUGAGGGCAACUGAGGAUGCAAUGUCUGUAAAAGGAUGUGAUUUUCCCUACUGUUAUGCAGUGUUGGGCAAAACCUACGCGCUGCCUUAUGGAGAGACAACAGGUAUAUAAAAGCCUGAGGAAGUGUGGCUAUAACAGGUCAGUGAUGCCCUUCGAUGUUCAGGGCUGCACGCGCGCUACAAUGAUAACAACAACAAGUAUCUGGGUCGAAAGACUUGGGUAAUCUAUAAUUGUUAUCGUGAUGGGGAUUGACGAUUGUAAAUUCGUCAUGAAAUAGGAAUCCCUAGUAUGUGCAAUUUAUUAAAUUGCGCAGAUUAAGUCCCUGCCCUUUGUACACACCGCCCGUCGCUACUACCGAGUGAAUUAUGUCAUGAUGCUCUGGGACCUUUCAUUGUACGGGUGUCAAAGCCUGUUCGAUGCUAGAAUAAA
rnacentral:rRNA from 1 species